GGGGCGGUAGCUCAGUUGGUUAGAGCAGCGGACUCAUAAUCCGUCGGUCGCGGGUUCGAGCCCCGCCCGCCCCACCA
rnacentral:tRNA from 1 species